AUCCUCGAUCUGCUGCGGGCAGAUGAAAUGAAUGUGGCUGUCGAAACCGCCGGCGGUCAGGAUGCGGCCUUCGCCGGCGAUCACCUCGGUGCCGGGGCCGACGAUGAUGGUCACGCCGGGCUGGGUGUCGGGGUUGCCGGCCUUGCCGAUGGCGGCGAUCCGGCCGUCUUUCAGGCCGACAUCGGCCUUCACGAUGCCGGUGUGAUCCACGAUCAGCGCAUUGGUGAUGACGGUAUCCACCGCACCGCCGGCCCGCGUGACCUGGGCUUGGCCCAUGCCGUCGCGGAU
rnacentral:sRNA from 1 species